UACGUAGGGUGCAAGCGUUGCUCGGAAUCAUUGGGCGUAAAGAGCGUGUAGGUGGCUAGAUAAGUCGGAUGUGAAAUCCCUCGGCUCAACCGAGGAAGUGCAUUCGAAACUAUUUAGCUCGAGGAUGGCAGAGGAAGGUGGAAUUCCCGGUGUAGCGGUGGAAUGCGUAGAGAUCGGGAAGAACAUCAGUGGCGAAGGCGGCCUGCUGGGCUGUUGCUGACGCUGAGGCGCGACAGCGUGGGGAGCAAACAGG
rnacentral:rRNA from 1 species